rnacentral:rRNA from 1 species
GACAUGGGGGGCCAGCGUUGCUCGGAAUUACUGGGUGUAAGGGGUUCGUAGGCGGUGUGGCAAGUUGGGAGUGAAAUCUCUGGGCUCAACCCAGAGGCUGCUUCCAAAACUGCCAUGCUUGAGUGUGGGAGAGGCGCGUGGAAUUGCAGGUGCAGCGGUGAAAUGCGUAGAUAUCUGCAGGAACACCCGUGGCGAAAGCGGCGCGCUGGACCACAACUGACGCUGAGGAACGAAAGCUAGGGGAGCAAACAGG